UACAGAGGUCUCAAGCGUUGUUCGGAAUCAUUGGGCGUAAAGGGUGUGUAGGUGGCGCCGUAAGUCGGGUGUGAAAUUUCGGAGCUUAACUCCGAAACUGCAUUCGAUACUGCGGUGCUUGAGGACUGGAGAGGAGACUGGAAUUCAUGGUGUAGCAGUGAAAUGCGUAGAGAUCAUGAGGAAGACCAGUGGCGAAGGCGGGUCUCUGGACAGUUCCUGACACUGAGACACGAAGGCCAGGGGAGCAAACGGG
rnacentral:rRNA from 1 species